UGGCGAAGUGCAGUUUGCAUCGUGCUUGAUGCAGGUUCGAUGAGCCUAGGUCAUUUUCGAAUUUACAUACCGCACACACAAAACGCGAGAAAUCAAACCAAUUCAUCACAGUCACAAUACAACAAAAAAAAAACAUACACAAAACCGACACAAUUUUUUCGCAUUUUCCAAAUUUUUCGCCCGAAAGAAUAACCAAUAAUCAUAAUCACCAACUCUUUCGAAACACGACCGAAGAACUUUUGCCGCUUUUUCAAUUGUUUAUUCCUGUGCAAAAAAAAAAUCAUAAAAAAUACCAAAACAUUUGAAUUUAUAAAAACUCGAGAAAAAAAAACGAACAUUUUGAUAAAUUCCAGAGAAUUCAAAUUCAAAUUCAAAAAAACAAAGUUAUCUAAAACCCACAAAUUAAAAUCGCAAAAAGCGAAAAUAAAAUAAAUUCAAAACCCAAACACUAUUCGAACGCACACGAAAGAGACAGAAACAAAAAGAAAGAAUACAGUGUGAAACGGAUAUCUAAGCUGAGUUUGGCAUCACAAAAACGCAUAAACAGAAUCUUGAGUUGCACAACAGCCGCACACAUUCACACAACUACGCUACAACACACAGAUAAGUAGCUUAAUUGCAAUAAAAAACAACAAACAAAGCAUUCAUAAAAGAACCGAAAGCAAAACUGGAAUUCAUUUCCGAACUAAUAAUAAAGAAAAACAAACACAAACACAAUAAAACAUAACCUAAAAAAACUAACACAAAACACACAACACACACAAAAAACAAAAAAACUAACACACACAAAACGCUAAUUUAAAACAAAUAAAAAAAAAACAUUCAAAAGAACAAUAAUCGAAAGUAAUUUUAAAUAAAGAAAAAAACUUCACCAAAAUUUAACGCGCUUUCGACAAUUCAACCAAACAAACUAACAAAAAAAAUUAGCUCAUUUUGGAUAAAGUACAAAUUUCGUAUUAAGUAAACUAAUUUAUACAGAAGAAAAAAUCUUGUAUAAAUCGUUUAAAACCAAUUGUUACACCAAAAAAAAAGGGAAUUACACUUUAUAAACAUCUCAUUUGCGUUGAUCCAAAAACGAAUCCUUCAAUUCAAUCCCUUGUCAAUCGAGUCAUUUGAUCUGAACAAAGGAUAUACACUAGACCAACACUUGAUUAUUUCAUAAGUUGUUUGAAUUCAUUUUUAAAUUAAUCGAUUUAAUUGUUUCAUAUUUAGAGAAAAAAAACAAACACAAAUUAGUUGCAAUUUUAUUGAAGAAAUUUUGAAUUUUUUUACUUAAAUUUUUUACACACAAACACACACACAACACACACACACACACACAAAUAUAUAUAUAUUUAUUUAUAUAGACAUAUAAAACAAUUUAUAUAUACACACACACACUUUACACACAAACACAAAAACACACAAAAAAGAAAAAAAGAAAAACAAACACAAAUCAACAAAAUUCAAUCAAACAUUUAAAAACACCAAACACAAACCAAUUCGAAAGAAAAAGAAAAAAAAAUCGAAAAUAAAAACACACACACAACACAAAUUUGAAAGGAAAAACAUUCAAACACAAAAAAAACCAAAACAAAAAACACAAACACCCACACAACCACAUCCACAUCCACAUACACACAAACAACAGCUAAACAAAAGCCAAUAACCAAAACUAAAUCACACCAGAAACAGAAACAAAAACAAAAAUAAAAAGAAAUUUUCCAGACCAUAAGACCAAAGAAUGUAUUUAGACCUCAGCCAAAAUCAAUAUUUCAAUCAAGUCGAACCACAGCGUCAAAAUUGCAAACCGUUUCAACAAUCAAAAAAUUCAUCCAUGUUCAAUCAACACGAAAUUGGUACACAUACACACAACAAUAUCAAGUCAUAAAAUCAAGCCAACACCGCCGAAUAAUCCACACACACACAUAACAAACAAUUAACACAAUACAAUCCAAAAUUCUUUACACUGACACCGGAACAGACAGUUUAGAAUACCAUUUACCAUACAGCUAGCAUUUAAUGAAACUUAUCUUUAGCAUUAGUCAGAUAAUAAUACAGCUACUACUAAUAAAAAGUUCUAUCGAGUUAAAUUUUAGUAAAGAAAAAAUACAUAUAAUUGUAAUUGAUAAGAGUAUUAACGUCAAUAAAGCUAGGAGUAUAGGGUUGCACGAAAGUGAUCGAAAUCAACAGCGACUACGAAGACGGUUACGACGGCUAAGACAAAAGCACCAGCAACAGCGUGACAACAGCAAUAAAAACAUUCAAACCAACCAAUUCAACCAUUGUCAUUGUCGAAAAGUCAACGUAAAAGCAAAACCGACACUAACACGCCCAAUCAACUCACUAAUUAUCAAAUAAUCUGUAUAAAAAGAAAUUAAAUUAUAUGGGUAGAAAGACACAUACGUUACAUAGGCUAUAGUGAAUCGAAAAGAAGACAGGAAUUACACACAAACAGUUAUUGGGAAAUCACGAAAAUUGUGUAAUUGAAUCAAUCUUCAAUAAUUUAAGCACAAUUUAUUCAUAAUCUAUUCUUAUUCUUAAUUAAUUAAGCGAAAGUAUUAAACACACACACACACAGACUCUAGUAGGAGAAAUUUUUUUUGGUGGAGCGCAAAUCAAUUUGCAUUGCAUCAGAAAAGGUAUUGAGUACACCAAUUCGACAACAUCCACGUGAAGCGAUUUAUUACACUUCCAUUUUUUGUUUUGUCUUUUCAUUUCGGAUCUUCAUUUCAUUGUGCCAAAUCAAACAAACCCAACUCAACGCAGAUUGGACUUUUAUUAAAUUAAACUUUGCUCCAAUUUCAAUUGCAAUUGGACUGAAGCUAAAUUCUUUUCGCUAGAAAACAUACGAUUCUUUCAUUCAACUUUUUAACAUCUACUUUGAGUAGAUUGAAAGAUUGAGAUAGAAAAAGUUUUCGUUGAACGAAAGUUUUACGUUUUCAAAUUGGUCAGCAUUUUAAUUGGCUAAUUAAAUUUGAUUGGUAAAUUCGAAAUUUCCUUAAAUAAACCAGCGUCAAUUUUUCAAAAAAACACUUCCAUUUUCGCCUGUGUCGAAGUUUUUUUUUCUCGGAAAAGCAAUUUUCAAUCUAAUCGUUUUUUUUUUAUCAAGAGAUAAACAAAAGAGUUUCGAAAAAGGACAACAUCAAAACGACAAAAUCUUAUACAAGAACCAAUUCUUGUUUGAACAACAUACAACUGUUAAAACCACACACAAAAUACGACCGAACGAACGGAUCGUGCUUCGCGAAAACAAAUAUUGAAAAGACUCGAAUUCAUCCAGAAUUCGAACAAAUCCGAAAAUUCAAUUUUUACACCUUUCGAUCGGAAAGCAAAAAACGAGCAUUAUUUUAUUUUCUUAAUUUUAGAAGAAAAUAAACAAGUUUAGGAGAGAAAAAGCUAAUCUACAAAAACAAAAGAAAAAAUAAAAUAAAAAUAAACAAAAAAGUGAUAACGUCUUGGCCUAUACAUAUUUUGAAACUACAUUGUGAUCCAGAAGAAACAAACAAAACAACAACAAAAAUUUAAACUAAAACAAACAAACAACAACAACAACAAAAAAAUUAACUAUUUGACAUUUAUACGAGAAACAAACAAACAAAAAAAAAGAUAGUAAAUUUUAUAUUUAAAACAAUAAUUUAGGUGAACAAAAGAGUUUAUAAGGAAAUUUGAAACGAAAUCAAAUAUUACGCGAGAGAGAGAGAAAGAAAAAGAACUAUAAAUUUAUAUAACGAAAGAGAAGAGGAAAGUGUGAGAUAGAGAAACAGAAAGAGAGAGAGAGAGAGAGAGAGAGA